GCGGGUACGGCUGACUUCGAGCCGUUCACGAUGCUGCUGGCCAUGGCACGCCUGUCCGAUACCGUGGUGGACGGUGUGCCGCAGACGGCGGGCUGCGCCGCCACCCAGGCGCGGGCCAUCGAGCGUGCCAUCACAGAGUGGGACCUGCAGGCAGCAUGCAAGGAGAUGUGGGCGGUCGUUGACAGCGCGAAGACAAACCUGGGCCAGCACAACGGCGUGGCGGCGCAGCUGCAGCGAUCGCUAGGCAUCGACAUCCACAUCAUGCGGUGCUACGCACAUAUCCUACACAACUCGCUGCACGCCGGCAUCGUGAAGGGCUGGGGAGAUGACCCGACCAAGAAGCGCGAGGGGUUCAACUCCCCCGUUGUCUUCCUACUCGAGCAAUCUGCAAGCUUCAUCAACCGGCACGACAGCUACCGCCCCGAGGACACGCCAGUCUGCCCAGAUGCCUGCGCAAUGCGCUGGGGCAUCUACUGCACGCUUGCGCUGUGGUUCUGUAUGCACACCACAUACUUCCAUGGCGUCGUCGCUGCAGUGGCUGCGCGCGGAGGCAGCAUCAGUAACGCCGACGGCGCCAUGAUGGAGGGCUGGAAGAAUGCGGAGCAGGUGCUGCAGGUGGCCGUGCUGGCGGACUGGGGCCACUACUUCCUGGAGCAUGAGCUGAAGUGGGCUGAGUCGGGCGGCGGUUUCCAUGCGCUCAAGCUGCACGCGCGCAAGCACCGCGCGGUGGGCUACUUCGCUGAGGCUCUCGGGAACCCAGCAGCUGUGUUCACGCGCACAGUGGAAACGGCGCGCAGGGUUGGGUCGGAGUGGGAGGCAGCGCUGCGCGUGGUGGUGCGGCCGUUUCUGGACAACUUUGUGGUCUACUACGGCCGCGAGACUGCCUUCCUGCACAAGGCGCCCCUGCGGCUGGCUGAGCUGGCCUGUCCCGAGCGCGGUCAGCUGGCGGCGGCGCAGUUCCUCGCGCGCGCAGCGACAGCGCCAAGCAAUGAGUGGCGGCAGUUCGGCGCGUUUGGGGUGGAGAAGCUGGGCGACAGCAUCGCGCGCCUGGCCGCGCACGGCUACGUGGACCCACCCCUCCAUGAAUGGCUGCAGCUGACCUUUGGCGCGCUUCCCAUCCUGAACCACCACAGCGAGAACAUCCUCAAGGUGGCCAAGCACGUCGACAUGCGCAUGAAGCCUCACCUGACACAGGCGCAGGUGAAGUUGCGGCGCGACAGGCCCCAGUUCCGCAUCCUCCUCACACCGCCAGCGCUGACGUGGGCAAGGGUGAAGGUGCGGCAGCGGCGACUUGCAGCCAAGGCAGUGAAGGCUGCCGCU
rnacentral:lncRNA from 1 species